rnacentral:lncRNA from 1 species
AUAACUAGGGAUAAAUGACUGAAGCUUUGUCUCAGGAAGGAAGCUGAAUCUAGAGGGUUCUUGAUAGCAUUCGCAGUUUUUUUGUCAAUGUAGAAACAACUGAGCUUACAGCUAGAUAGUAAGAAUAAUCAGCUUCAUGACAAAGUCUGAGUCAGAUUUGUGGGAUUUGAACACAGGUCUUCUGGGUUCUGAGACCAGCUCUUUAUACUCAAGCCCUUUUGCCUUUGAGGGCAAAAACCUUCGAGCACCCUCUUAAAUAAACACCCCCUUCUCUCUAGUUCUUACCCCCCUCUUCUGCCCUCAAGGAGUAUACAUUCUACAGAGGAGACAACAUGACAUGUAUUCAAAGAUUGUGUUUGACUUUGUAUCCCAGGAUCAAGUGCACAGUGCUGACUGAGAGAGUGAUAUGCGAACCCAAACCAUAUCCAUCCAUUUUUGUACCUGGACUGGGAGAGGCAAUAAUGACUGUGUGUGGGGGAAAAAAUUCAACGGAAGAAACCUAGGCAGCACAGACUCAUGCUCUUUGACAAGAUUUGAUGCUAGGCAAGGCUGCCCUGCUGCUUCUGGCAGAAGGAGGCAGCUGUCCUCUGUCCAGCAUAACAGCUGGAUUGGGAACAGUCAGCAUGGCAUCAUCAUUUUCUGGUAUUUUUGCCCCCGAAGUCUGGAAAACAAGAACUAAGGUGAAGUGUAUUUUUGUUGAUCAGAAAUUUCCAGGACUUUUCUGCUAGCAGCAAUGCAAUGAUCCAGGACAAUUCUGAGGGACUCAUGAGAAAGAACACUAUCCACAUCCAGAGAAAGAACUGUGGGAGUAGUAACACAGAAGAAAAACAACUGCUUGAUCACAUGAUUGAUGGGGAUAUGAUUGGGGAUGUAGACUGUAAGUGAUCACUCUAGUGCAAAUAUCAAUAAUAUGGAAAUGGAUCUUGAUCAAUGACAUGUGUAAAACCCAGUGGAAUUUCUCAGUGGCAAGGGGGAGGUGGGAGGAGGGGAGGGAAAGAACAUAAAUCAUGGAACCCUGGAAAAAUAUUCUUAAUUUUUAAAUAAAUAAACUUUAAUUAAUAAAAAAGACA